ACAGGCAGCGAGUGGGCUUAAAAGUUGAGAUCUGUUUGAUGUAAGCUCUUUUCUCAUUAUCACACAAGUAAACGACGACAAAAGAAACAUCGUCAUCUCCGUACCGCUUCGUCUUCUCCGAUUAGAUUCCAUAGAAACUGAUCCCCCUCUACACAAUCAAUCCCAUCCUUUAGUUCGAGCAAUUAAUUUCGUCUUGAUGAUUUCGUUCCAGCUCCCUUUGUUCCUCCUUUAUAUACCGAUCUAUUUUCAAGAACGAAUUGUAAUCGUUGUUUGAAAAAAAAAUCAUUGGGAAAGCCUUCCUCAAUUUUUGGUUGUGGUGAAGCCUUUUUAGUGAAAGGUUUGCACUGUUUUCCAAUUUAUAUUUUGUGACUUAAAGAAUUAUGGCUUCCAAUCUCCCGGCCCUCGAUUGGAACAUGUUCAUGGCGAUGUACAUGACCAUUUGCAAGCCCUCACGAAUGGUUUCCAGAGGUUGGAGUUACUAUACAACAAUUUCUCGAACAAAAAACAGCUCACUGGAGUAGAAGAAUGCGGAUACUAAAUGCCAGUGUAGCCACAGGUAAUCUCCACUGGAAAAUAGUCAUGUUUACAUCAACAAGAUGAAUCAGGGUAAAAAGAGAAAUCAGAAACAGAACUAUAGCUGAUAUAAAAACACAUUCGUUAUGACAACAGUGAUGAUAAUGAAGUUAUGGGAUCCACAUUCGUCUUUUACUCGAGCAUCCUCUUUGAGAAACGCCAAAUGAAAGACUGUAAAAGGAUCAUCUAUAUAAUGUACACACAUGUUGGUGACUAAGUUUGCAACAUCUUAGGAACAAUGAAAUAGCCGGUGAGGAGAUUCGUUUAUGAAAAUUUGAUUCUCACUUAAUGUAUGUUCCCCAUGAUUAUAGAUAAAUAAGCGACAUUAAUGAGCUCUCAAGUAUCUUAUAGAUUUCCAGUGGAAAAAGGUUGAAGAACCAAAAGAGUUCACACUUGAGCUGUUCUUUGAGGCUUAUUGCACUGAAGAACAAUGAGAUUGCCGGUCUGGAGGUUCGUUAUUAGGAUAUGUUCUUAAAGAAAAUGUUACUCUCUUUCUAGAUGGAUUUCCAAUGAUUAUACUAAAUAUAAGCAAGAUGAAUGAACUCGCAAGUAUCUCAAAGAUAUCAAAUUGAAUAGGUUUAAAGAACCAAAAAGAUUCACGCUUGAUCUUUUCUUUGAUUAGAACCCUUACUACCAUAACACUGUCUUCACCAAGACAUCUCACAUGAUUGAUAAAGAUAAUCUUAUCCUCGAGAUGGCCAUUGGGUAUGAUCUUUUCCUCUUACGAUGUAUUUAUUGUUUUUAUUUCUUGAGGCCAAGUGUUAUUGAUCCAUACCUUUUGUAUCUUAUAUGAUAUAUGUAAAAAAUCGAUUGUCUACUUAUAAAACAGGUCCAGGAGUAACAAGAGAAGCUGGAGUAUGAUGAAAGGAAGCCAAAAGGAAAGGAGAGAUUCAUCACGAGUGUGUUGUAUAUAUACCCUAUGUGUCUCAGUUUUUUCGCCAGACCAAUAGUGACUGAAUUUAUUGUCAUUCGUGAUAAUGACCAACAGAUAAAAGAAAAUAAUGACCUCUCCAACAACAGGUUCUCAUAAAUUUGUUUGGAGGACAAUAGCAUUCCGUUGGUUUGGCCAAUUUCAACUAAACUUUUUCUCUAUAAUAAAAUCAUUCAGUUUGGAAUGAAAACCUUUUAGUUAUCUGCUUAUCUAAAUCAGCUUAACCAUUUUUCUACGUAAUAGUCUAGCAAGAGAUUUUUUUUUGGUCAAACUAAUGAAAAAUAUAUUUGUAUCAAACCAAGAUUGCAUACUAUAUAAAUUAAGUUAGACUGGUAAAUUUGAUAAUGAAAAAAAAUUAGUUACAUAACCUACAUAAUCAAGAAUAAAAAUAUAUAUAGAUCAAAAUAUUGAGUACUUCAGACUCAUACUAUCAACUCGAAAUUAUUUAAUAAAAUACACAGCAAACUAUGAAUUCUAACAUUUUAAAUUUAUUAGGCAGAAAACAAUUAACAAAAUAGUUUUAAAUUUGUAUACUAACUUAUUUUUAUAAUCAAUUACAAUAUAUAUAUAUAUAUAUAUAUAUAUAUAUAUAAACGUAAUUAUUUGUGUUUGUCUGUAAUUAACUAAAAAGUAAAAAAUAAUAAUUAAAAUUA